UGGGGAAUUUUGGACAAUGGGCGAAAGCCUGAUCCAGCAAUGCCGCGUGUGUGAAGAAGGCCUUCGGGUUGUAAAGCACUUUUGUCCGGAAAGAAAUCCUUGGCUCUAAUACAGUCGGGGGAUGACGGUACCGGAAGAAUAAGCACCGGCUAACUACGUGCCAGCAGCCGCGGUAAUACGUAGGGUGCAAGCGUUAAUCGGAAUUACUGGGCGUAAAGCGUGCGCAGGCGGUUUGCUAAGACCGAUGUGAAAUCCCCGGGCUCAACCUGGGAACUGCAUUGGUGACUGGCAGGCUAGAGUAUGGCAGAGGGGGGUAGAAUUCCACGUGUAGCAGUGAAAUGCGUAGAGAUGUGGAGGAAUACCGAUGGCGAAGGCAGCCCCCUGGGCCAAUACUGACGCUCAUGCACGAAAGCGUGGGGAGCAAACAGGAUUAGAUACCCUGGUAGUCCACGCCCUAAACGAUGUCAACUAGUUGUUGGGGAUUCAUUUCCUUAGUAACGUAGCUAACGCGUGAAGUUGACCGCCUGGGGAGUACGGUCGCAAGAUUAAAACUCAAAUGGAAUUGACGGGGUCAUAGCUGUUUCCU
rnacentral:rRNA from 1 species